AAUACCCUGCUAUGUGCGUGGACACCUUGAAGUUUUGAGCCAACACCUAUUAAAAGGGAGCCCGUGCUCUGGCUGUGGCUUGUAAGCCUCCACCGGGAGGACACAAAAAGCAGCCAGGAGGGCACCCACCUGUGGAGAGCAGGUUCAAGAAACUCUGGGGUUCACGGCAUCAGUGGGGUUUCU
rnacentral:other from 1 species